rnacentral:rRNA from 1 species
CAUUACAGAGUUCAUGCCCUUCGGGGUAGAUCUCCCACCCGUGUCAUCACACCUUUGUUGCUUUGGCGGGCCCGCCUCGGCCACCGGCUCCGGCUGGUGAGCGCCCGCCAGAGGACCCCAAACUCUGAAAUUUAGUGUCGUCUGAGUACUAUAUAAUAGUUAAAACUUUCAACAACGGAUCUCUUGGUUCUGGCAUCGAUGAAGAACGCAGCGAAAUGCGAUAAGUAAUGUGAAUUGCAGAAUUCAGUGAAUCAUCGAAUCUUUGAACGCACAUUGCGCCCCUUGGUAUUCCGGGGGGCAUGCCUGUUCGAGCGUCAUUACAACCCUCAAGCUCUGCUUGGUAUUGGGCGUCCCCGGCGACGGGGUGCCCUAAAAUCAGUGGCGGUGCCGUCUGGCUCUAAGCGUAGUAAAUCUCUCGCUCUGGAUGCCCGGUGGAUGCUCGCCAGAACCCCCCAUUUUUACAGGUUGACCU